rnacentral:lncRNA from 1 species
UCUGCACUUUUCCGGGUGCGCUCCCUAAGCCAGAGCUGCGCCCACUUUCCGGUUUGAUCAAGAAGUUAUUUUCUUCGUGUCAGGAGGAAAUCCAACUGCCACUCACCGACCGCACACCAUCUCGUUAAAGGACCUGUUGACUUAACAACCUGCAUAUCGCGGGUUUGGUCUGCCUGUGGCAUAUGACUCAAAGGUUCAAAAAAACUUUGUUUCAGGAACCUGCCACGUCUGAACCUGGGUGUGCCAGGCCCAAAUUCCUUUCCCUGCCUAAUUAGGCUUUUCUGAAGCCUAAGAAAUGAGGGUGAAACCGGUGCUUACCUUAGAUUUUUAUUUUCUUUUCUUUCAAAGUCCAUCAAAGUACUUCCUUCUCUCUCAAAAACUCAUCCAAACACCUCAUUUUAAAAUUGAUCAAAUAACUAAUCAGAACUAAGAAACUAUAAGUAGCAAAUCAUCAUGAAAUUUUAUUCCACCAAUAAAGACAAACAGAAAUGGCUUCCUACCACUCCUCUGUUCAUUAACAUUUCCAACAGCAGAUGACAGGCACUUAAAAUUUCUGCCCAAGACUUAAGUGAAAGUCGCU